UCCGUUGUAGUCUAGUUGGUUAGGAUAUCACGGCUCUUACCCGAGAGACAUGGGUUCGAUUCCUAGCAAUGGAA
rnacentral:tRNA from 1 species